rnacentral:sRNA from 1 species
UCCAGCCUCCUCAACUCCGAGUUCUGCUUCAUCCUCAAGGUUCCCUUUGAGAGUGAGGACAACCAGGGCAUCGUGUAUGCCUGGGUGGGCCGGGCAUCAGACCCUGACGAAGCCAAGUUGGCAGAAGACAUCCUGAACACCAUGUUUGACACCUCCUACAGCAAGCAGGUCAGGGGGCGGGUGGGCAGGUGGGCACACACAGGGGAGCCAGGGCAGGCAGGGGCCCUGGGCUGGACUGGCCUUUCCCGCAGGUUAUCAACGAAGGCGAGGAGCCUGAGAACUUCUUCUGGGUGGGCAUUGGGGCACAGAAGCCCUAUGAUGACGAUGCCGAGUACAUGAAACACACACGGCUCUUCCGGUGAGGCCAGAGCCCUGACCCUCCCCUCAGUCCUGGCACUGCUACUUAUGACCUCUGGCCUCACCUUGACCCUUGAUUCCCAGGUGCUCCAAUGAGAAGGGCUACUUUGCAGUGACUGAGAAAUGCUCUGACUUUUGCCAAGAUGACCUGGCAGAUGAUGACAUCAUGUUGCUAGACAACGGCCAAGAGGUCUACAUGUGGGUGGGGACCCAGACUAGCCAGGUGGAGAUCAAGCUGAGCCUGAAGGCCUGCCAGGUAUAUAUCCAGCACAUACGGUCCAAGGAACAUGAGCGGCCAC